GCGAGUCAUUGUAGCAUACAAGGCAUACGGCUCAGUAACGCGUAGUCAACCUAACCUAUGGACGGGAAUAACCUCGGGAAACUGAGAAUAAUGCCCGAUAGAACAUUAUACCUGGAAUGGUUUAUGUUCCAAAUGAUUUAUCGCCGUAGGAUGGGACUGCGGCCUAUCAGUUUGUUGGUGAGGUAAUGGCCCACCAAGACUAUUACAGGUACGGGCUCUGAGAGGAGUAGCCCGGAGAUGGGUACUGAGACACGGACCCAGGCCCUAUGGGGCGCAGCAGGCGAGAAAACUUUGCAAUGUGCGAAAGCACGACAAGGUUAAUCCGAGUGAUUUCUGCUAAAGAAAUCUUUUGUUAGUCCUAGAAACACUAACGAAUAAGGGGUGGGCAAGUUCUGGUGUCAGCCGCCGCGGUAAAACCAGCACCUCAAGUGGUCAGGAUGAUUAUUGGGCCUAAAGCAUCCGUAGCCGGCUCUGUAAGUUUUCGGUUAAAUCUGUACGCUCAACGUACAGGCUGCCGGGAAUACUGCAUAGCUAGGGAGUGGGAGAAGUAGACGGUACUCGGUAGGAAGUGGUAAAAUGCUUUGAUCUAUCGAUGACCACCUGUGGCGAAGGCGGUCUACUA
rnacentral:rRNA from 1 species